CAAAAAUUAAAACCCAGCCGCCUGGUUGUUGGGUUCUUCAACAGAAUAGGAAUUGAAAAUAGAGAAAUAUUUAUUGACUAAACUUAGGAAGUUUAAACAAAAAAAAUUUAAAGGUUUCAAAAAACUUAUUCUGUUUUUAAAAUAAAUUAUAGAAAGAAAAAUGAAAUAGUGUAACAGACUUCAUCGUCCUCUUCCCAAAUCUCAAACCCAGAAUCUCUCUCCUCUCUUCCAAUACUGGCUUUUUGAUUUGGGAUUUAGGGUUUUGCUCUUUGAAAUCUUUUCGCCGUUAAUUUCUCUCAAUUUUUUCGUCCCUUACUGAUUUCUUUCUCCUCCUAUUUAUCUUCUACCGUUAGGGUUUGGGAUUUGGUCUAUGGAGUCCAAAAGAGUAUCCUGCAAAAGCCCUUUAGUGCUCAGAAAUUGGAUUGGCCUCUUUGAUGCUAGAUUUGGAACAGUAAAAAUAUUGAAGAUUCCAAAAGCAGUUUCGGUUUUGAUCACAACUCUGGUUUUGUACUCGGUUUUGGGUGGUUUUUUGUAAUUUCAGUUUGGAUGUGUGAGGAUGGUGUGCCGAUAAGCUAAGCAACAUGAAGUUCUUCAUGACAUUUAACUGGUCAAUUAAGCCAGGGGGAGAAUACAGGUAUUGCAGUCCUUAUGGUAACUGGUGGUGCAAUUCCCUGGCAAGGUGAUCGCAUAUGUCGAAUCGGAACGUAUGGUGCUGCUCCUGCUGCAGGGAAUUUUGGGCGACGCAUCCAUCGAUUUUCUGGUGCAGAAAAAAGUGGUGACAUAUUGGCAUUAUGAUCACUGCUGGACGAUGCCAUUGCAGGGUGCCUGCUUCGAUGUGCUGUCUUUUGGCAAAUUAAGGGAAGCAAGACCUGAAACAUGAUUCUUUAUGGUUCCGGUUGAAUUUUGUUUUAUGGAGAAAAUAAAUGAUCCCAAAGUAAGUUGAGUUUGUUAAAAGAGGGAGCUCUUAUUUGUAUUGUGUUAAAGAAUGUAGAUAGAAUUUAGAAAUGAUUGUAAUCCCUUUUUUUUGGACUGCUAUGAGUUUUCUGCUACAAGUUGUUGUCGGUGCCAUGUUCUUUAUUGUUUGUUGCAGGUUGGGGACGAGAUUGCAAGCAUGUUGAUGAAGGAGUACCGGCAACUGGUGCAGGUGGUGGUUCAGGGUAAUUUGGUGAGAGCCGGUUAGGAGGUGCGUCCCUUUGCAAUGUCCCAACGGUAUUAAAAGCUAAAUUUGCAAUCGAAUUAACUUGUUCUUGUAGCUGAGAGAUUAUAUCCAUUACAAGAGCAACUUCCAAGUAGAAACUUUAACCUAACAAAGUUCAAGUUGACAACAAUGUGACUCACCAGAUGCUGUACCUGCAAGCGCAAUUUUGCUUCUCCAAAUCACUUUUUAUUCUGUUUUAACUUUUCAAUAGCAGAGAUAGGCAAAACAAUUAUUUGUUCUUUCCAUUUUCCUGUUGUGGCUUUUGUAAUCGAAACAUGGACUGCUGUGAUGUUGCAGGUUUUGGUGCAGAAUUAUGCAGAAUUUUGAUGCAGCAUUAUGCAGAAUUUGGUGCUUCUUAUGCAGAAUUUUGAUGCUGAAUUGUGCAGAAUUUUGGUGCUGAAUUGUGCAGAAUUUUGGUGCUGAAUUGUGCAAAAUUUUGAUGCUGAAUUGUGCAGAAUUUUGGUGCUGAAUUGUGCAGAAUUUUGAUGCUGAAUUGUGCAGAAUUUGGUGCUUCUUAUGCAUAAUUUUGAUGCUGAAUUGUGCAGAAUUUUGGUGUUCAUGUGAAUGUCUUACUAAAACUUGGUAAUUUGAAUGGUAGCAAUGUUAAUUAGAAAUGACUUCUAUUUGGAUGGCUUAGGAUUUCUUGGAUUUGGAUAUGUCUUUGGAUAAUUGUUUUGGAGUUAAAUGAUUAAUCGAACGUAUGUAUGAAAAUGAGUUUGGACAUGUUGUAAUGGUUGUGCAAUGUCAUGGUUUAUGGAAAUAUGUAUGUUGCAAUUUGGUUCAUGGUUAUGUAAUGGCCUAGAUAUGAAUGCAUGGUUGAAUAUGAUUUUUGAA